CAGCAGGACUGCCCAGAUCCCGCGACUCCAUCAGCGUUCCUCGCCGCCCAUGGCCCCCACCUCUCGUUUCCAGAUGGUACAGUCCUUUUCUCCUAUCGCGAGACUGGAAGCGUCGUGCUUCUGGUUGCCAGGGUAACACCGUUCCUGGAGGCAGGAGGGCUUUGGACCGGCUGGAAGGAACUUCCAGCUCCAGAGAAGCUGUGGUGGCAGAAAAGGAGCCUCCCCUUUGGGGGACAGUGGGUGACGCUGAGGGUGUCAGCGGUGCGCUUCUGCGCCCAUCAAUGCUCUGACGACUCGCGACUAGUUCCCAGAGUUUCUGCCGGCCAGGAUAUCAAUGGAUAUUAUUAAGGGAAACUUAGACGGAAUUUCAAAACCAGCCUCAAAUUCAAGAACGCGUCCUGGGAGCAGAGAUUCAAAUUCUUCUUUGGAGGUACUCUCACCAGAACCAGCGUUUUUCAAGGUUGAUACUGCAAUCAAAUUGAACUCUGGUAAAGAGGGCCACUCAGAAAGCAGUAAUACAGAGGAAAGUAGAAACAGUGAUGAUGAUAAAGGGGAAAAGCAUUCUGAGAACAUAGAACUGGCUCGAGAGCGGCCAGAUGAAGAUCUGCCGGUUCAGCGUCCGAUGCUCUCUGGACGUUCAGAUGAAGGCGAAUUGAAAGAAUUAGAUUCUCAACUUCAAGACGCUAUUCGGAAGAUGAGGAGGCUUGAUAAGAUAUUAGCGAAGAGACAAUAUAGAGAAAGAGAAAUUAAGAAGCGAGGCCUAGAAAUGAGAAUAAAGCUGUGGGAAGAACUUAAGUUUGCAAAAAACAGUGAAGAUUUGCAAAUUAAUGAGGAGACGGAAAAUACAAAAAAGUUUCUAGCUUUGACUGCUGGAUCCAAAAAAACUGUUGAUCCUUCUUGCUAUGAGCAUGAAGACUCAGUGUUUUACACUCAAGUCCCUCCAGAAGAAUAUGAAAACUGUAUACAGAUUAUCAAUCAAGAUUUUACCUAUGAUCUGGAAAGAAAUGAGUCCUUGAUCAAGGCAGAAAAGAAACCUUUCUCAAAAACAGAAAAGAUUGAGCUCAGGGGUAAACACAGCCAGGAUUUUAUUAAGCGAAACAUUGAGUUGGCCAAGAAUCCAGGAAAACCAGGGGUUAUGAUUGACAGAGAGAAGAAAAGGCUGAUGGAACUUCUGAAGGACUUGGAUGAUAGAGAUUCGGGGCUGUCCAGUUCUGAGGGCGAUCAGUCUGGCUGGCUGGUCCCAGGAGAAGGAUACACACUUGCGGUCACCCAGCAUCAGCAGCUUGCUGAAAUCGAUACAAAACUCCAAGAACUCUCUGCAGGCUCCCCAACAAUUUUCAGCUUUUCUCCAAGAAUUGGAAAUCAGAGUGAUCAGGAAGCUGACCUUAAUGGUGAUGACAGAAACGUGGAAAUAACUCCAGGAGAAAAGGCACUUCGGUACACCAAAGAGAAUCGGGAUCAGAAAAAUCGGCUGAGAGAGAUAGAUGAAAAACUGAGAAAGAUGAAGGAAAAUGUACAUCAUUGAUGAGACUUCUGGCUGAUAAUUGGUGAACAGACCCGGGAUUCAGGAGGCCUGGACUCAGUGUGCCUUUUUCAUCAACACAAGUGGGUCCUCAACCUGUCUGCUUUGCGGUGGAGGAGCGUGCGGCGGAGGAACACGUGAUCCCCUAAGUAUAAGUAGUUAAAAAUAAAUGAUUACCUCUUUCCCAGAAAAAUAUUCAACAUCACUUCUCUCUGAGGAACAGUUAAGGUGUCUUCUGGAUGAAUGUGCAUUCAAACAAAAAUCCAUGACUAGACUUUCUUCAGAAAAAGAAAAGAAAGACAUUGAGGAUAUAACACCUGAGUUGCCCCAGCUUUCCAGAUCUGUCCUUUCUGAGUUACUAAAUGGGUUAGAAGCAAAGGUCAAGAGCACUGACGUGGAAGAUGCAAGUAUGCCGGAGAAUGGAGAAGGUGAAACAUCUAGAGGCUACUAUCUCACCCAAGCCUUGACUGGGCAUUGCAUGUCACAAGCUCUUGUCACUGAAGCAGAGAAUAUGAAAUGCCUCCAAUUUUCCAAGGACAAGGUUAUUAGUGACACCAAAGACUAUUUUAUGUUGAAGACUCUUGGCAUUGGGGGACUGAAAAGGCCCUCUUUCCUGGAUGAUCCAUUGUAUGGUAGCAAUGUGAGCCUUUCAUCUGAAGACCAAAAUAUGAAAUCCAGCCCUCCAGAGAAACCAAAAACAGAUGAACAGGAGACUGAAGAUGUGACAGAAGAAUGUAAAGAAUCUUAAGCAAAGACUAACUGGGGUGCGCUUUUAAGAAAGCUGGUAAAUUAAGAAAGUCGGUAAAAAACUACAUUUUUCCCAAAUUCUUUGAAUUCAUUGAAUGCAUUAUAGAGACUAUUCCUCAAAUAAUGAUUUUAAUAUUUGUAUUCUCUCUUUCUGGAUUACAUAUCCUUGAUAUUUUUGAGACUUGUGGUAUAAUGAUUUAAUGGUUUUUCUUCAUUGAAAUUCCUGGGGAAAUUGUUUCUUAUGACUAAUCUUGCAACAUCAGGAAUACAUUAUGGAAACCAACAUUUUAUGUAUGUGUGUUAGGUUAAAACUAGUUGAAGUGCUACGAUUGUUUUGUAUUUGACUUUCUGUUACAACUCUAUUGUGAUUCAGACAGAUUUAAUCACCAUGAAUUUUUGUUUUGGCCCUGAUUUUCCUUCUUUCCUCCCCUCUAAUGCCUAUUAAGUAAGUACAACUGCCAUAGAAAGAAAUGAGUUUUCUCAAAAAAGCAAUUUAGGAUAGCCUUUACUAUCUUAUUAGCAAAGAUACUUUUCCUAAGCAGGACUUUGACUGAAUUAUUUGAUAUAUUACUUUCAGUUUGUUAUCUUCUUUCGGUGUUUGCCUUUUAGAAUGCAGCAAAUAAAGAUCAGCUACUUAAAAAAGUCUGUGGUACU
rnacentral:lncRNA from 1 species